UGAACGCUGGCGGCGUGCCUAACACAUGCAAGUCGAACGAGCAGAGAGGAGCUUGCUCCUCAAAGCUAGUGGCGGACGGGUGAGUAACGCGUGGAUAACCUACCCUGUACAGGGGAAUAACAGUUAGAAAUGACUGCUAAUGCCGCAUAAGCGCACACUGCCGCAUGGCAGAGUGUGAAAAGCCGAGACGGUACAGGAUGGAUCCGCGUCUGAUUAGCUAGUUGGUGAGGUAACGGCCCACCAAGGCGACGAUCAGUAGCCGACUUGAGAGAGUGACCGGCCACAUUGGGACUGAGACACGGCCCAAACUCCUACGGGAGGCAGCAGUGGGGAAUAUUGCACAAUGGGGGAAACCCUGAUGCAGCCAACGCCGCGUGAGUGAAGAAGUAUUUCGGUAUGUAAAGCUCUAUCAGCAGGGAAGAUAAUGACGGUACCUGACUAAGAAGCCCCGGCUAACUACGUGCCAGCCGCUGC
rnacentral:rRNA from 1 species